UUAUAAUAAACGUUGUAGGGCUGGGUACAGUUGUGCAUACCUGUAAUCCUAGCUGCUUUGCAGGCUUAGACAGGAGGAUCUUGACUUCAAGACCAGCCUGGGCAAUAUAGUGAUGUCUCAAAAAAGGAAAAGUUGCAGCUUUGGCAGAAUCUGGGCCUUUGAUUGUGGGAGCAGAGAACAAAUGUGUUUGAUCUUGGGAGAACAGAGGGUUACUGGAAGGCUUCAGGAGACCCGGCACUACAUUGAAUUCUGAUGUCAGGAUUUGAAGGACCACAUGGCAUAUAUGAGGAUCAUGUUGGUUGCCUGCAGAAGCACUUCACUGUCAUUACCAUGAAAGAAUUUUUGGAAAAUAAAAUUCAAUCUAAAGAUUCAAGA
rnacentral:lncRNA from 1 species